rnacentral:lncRNA from 1 species
GAGAGAGAGAAGGGGUAUUAUAGGAUGCCUUUGGCUCUGUCAUUCUCCUCCAGGAAAGAAGAGAAACAACUCGGAGGGAAGGAUACUCAUUUUUCUCUACAUCUGAACUUGAUCUUUGCACCUUUAAAAGAGAAGAAGGUCUUUUAGCCAUGGACACAAAAGAAAAACUCUUCCAACCUUAGCCAGCCAGCCUGCAAUAUCUCCAUGAGGACAACUUACUGUGGAUGACCUCCGUGGCUUUGCUGCAGUAUUGAACCUCAUGGUCACGCAUGUCCUCUCACCUGUACAGUUGCUUUACUGUUUCUCAUCCCCACCUGCUAUAAGCCAGCCAAUAA